AGCGUCACUGAUACCCAGGUUAGUAUCACUGAUACCCAGGUUAGUGUCACUGAUACCCAGGUUAGCAUCACUGAUACCCAGGUUAGAGUCAGUGAUACCCAGGUUAGUGUCACUGAUACCCAGGUUAGUGUCACUGAUACCCAGGUUAGUGUCACUGAUACCCAGCUUAGAGUUAAUGAUACCCAGGUUAGUGUCACUGAUACCCAGGUUAGAGUCAGUGAUACCCAGGUUAGUGUCACUGAUACCCAGGUUAGCAUCACUGAUACCCAGGUUAGAGUCACUGAUACCCAGGUUAGUGUCACUGAUACCCAGGUUAGUGUCACUGAUAUCCAGGUUAGAAUCACAUUUCUUGAAUUUAGGCUUUAAGCGGUUGAGAACAUUUCUUGAAUUUAGGCUUUGGGUGGUUGAAAACAUUUCUUAGGUUAAGGCUUUAGGUUAUUUUGCUUUUUGAUCUCAUGUGAGUAGCAUAGUUCUUCUUAGCUCAUGGCAAUGUGAAUAUUUCUAUUGUAGUUCAAGACUAUCAAUUGAGGUAUUUCUAAUUGCAUUAUUGAAAUGAUUCCUCAUGGGUAUUAGAGGUGGUGAGUUCAUACAUUGUCAUUUCAUCAGCAUGUCGGUGCCAAAGUGGAGCUCGGUGCAUUGUGUAGAGAAACAGUGUACAUUUUGUGUUUAUUUUUGUGUGAUAUUGUACAGAUCAAAAUUGUGAUACUGUCAAAUCAAACCAAUGUCUUUAAAUUCGUCAUAGUAUUGUGUUUCUGCCUCAUUGGCAGAUGAUUAUAAUGGCCAUUUGUUUUAUUUCUGAUUUUGUUCGCAGUGAUGAUAUUAUUUUGCAAAGAAAGCAGCAGUUUUAGUUGUUCUUAACUAAGUACAGAUUUCCAGUGAGCUUUUAAAGAUAAAACACUGCCUGGUUUGAACAUGUGUAGUUUGCCUUUGUGGUGAUGUAUCUAAAGGACAAAUUCUGAGUUUAUGUAAUGAAAAAGUUAUUGAUGCACAGGGUUGAAGGGCAAGGGAUUUCUAGUUGUAUGCUUAUCGUGAGAAGCCACUAACCAGAUUGUGCAUGUUAUGUUAUCCAGAUUUAAAUAGAAUACUGUUAAAUGUUUCAUUAAUCCAAAGUCACUGACAAUAUAAGAAUUAAGAAAAUCUUACUUCUAAGACUGCUGGUGGAAUCAUGGUUAUUGUUUCCAUAACAUCAUCUAGUGAUGUUUCCCCUGUCAUCUUAGCACUAAGACUUUGGACUUUGGAUAGCCAGAGCUAUGGAAACUGGAGAUUUAUGUCACCUUUUGGGGGGAACACGUUUUCUGUACAAUAUUGUCUUGGAUUAAUAAUGCAUAAAAUUUUAACACAUGCUUCUCCAGCCUGUCCACAGCUCGGAAUUUGUCUUUGUUGUUGAUGUGAUACAUGAGAAUACUGGGGUGGUGAUAUACAUAAGUAUUGUAAGUAUAAUUAGCUGCAAGACUGCAGAUUGUGUGUCCCAUGACAUGAUACAUCGAUAGGAUUUUCCCCUCAAAUUUUACAUGUUAGAAGAACCACUAAAUUUACAUUUUAAUAUUUUCAGUAAAGUGCUGUCUUACAUUUUAAGUUGUGGAAUUCAUUUUAGAAUGUCUCUCUUUCAGUUUUGCAUGAUAAACAUGAUUUAUUAUUAAAUAAGUUUUCGUUGUUGAACUUUUGGUUGCCAUGGUUAACUGUAAUAUUGUGAUCUUCGGUUGUGUCCUGUACAUUGUCCAAUUUUGUACAUUGUGUAAGAUGGAUACAAAUACUUAAUGAUGUUUCAAAACACUUUCUUAUAGUUUCAAUUGUCCAUUCAAUAUUCCAAGAACUGAAAUUUAUGAAAGUGCAGUUUGACUUUGAAUUGAUUGUGUGCAUUGAGUAGUUCCCUAUCAGUCAUAUAGAAAGCAUCUAUUUCCAAAUGACACAAUCUUGGCUGUUAUAAGAUGUUGAGUUUGGUAGGUCUAUAGUCAUCAUGGCAUGCACAUACUUAAAUUUUAUCUGAAUUUAAUUCUCUCAGUGAACACAGUUAUAAUAGUAAACGAUAGAAUAAACAAAAUGAACGU
rnacentral:lncRNA from 1 species